rnacentral:rRNA from 1 species
GGCGGACUUGCGUUCUGGUGGUUCUCCAGCGUUCUCGCUGGUGCACUCCGCCGGGUUCAGGCCAGCAUCAGUUCGCCGCGGGGGAAAAAGGCUUCGGGAACGUGGCUCCUACGGGAGUGUUAUAGCCCGUUGCAUAAUACCCUGGGGCGGACUGAGGUUCGCGCUCCGCAAGGAUGCUGGCGUAAUGGUCAUCAGCGACCCGUCUUGAAACACGGACCAAGGAGUCAUCA